rnacentral:rRNA from 1 species
CCUACGGGUGGCAGCAGUGAGGAAUAUUGGUCAAUGGGCGCGAGCCUGAACCGGCCAAGUAGCGGGAAGGAUGACUGCCCUACGGGUUGUAACCUUCUUUUAUCAAGGAAUAAAGUGCGGCACGUGUGCCUUUUUGUCUGUACUUUAUGAAUAAGGAUCGGCUAACUCCGUGCCGGCAGCCGCGGUAAUACGGAGGAUCCGAGCGUUAUCCGGAUUUAUUGGGUUUAAAGGGAGCGUAGACGGGUUGUUAAGUCAGUUGUGAAAGUUUGCGGCUCAACCGCAAAAUUGCAAUUGAUACUGGCAGACUUGAGUACAGUUGAGGUAGGCGGAAUUCGUGGUGUAGCGGUGAAAUGCUUAGAUAUUACGAAGAACUCCGAUUGCGAAGGCAGCUUACUAAACUGCAACUGACAUUGAUGCUCGAAAGUGUGGGUAUCAAACAGGAUUAGAUACCCCAGUAGUC